UUGCUUUCGAUAGGCGUCGACCGGCGCACGGGUGAGUAACGCGUAUCCAACCUGCCCAUAACUAAGGGAUAAUCCGUAGAAAUGCGGUCUAAUACCUUAUGUGAUCCGAGGAAGACAUCUGAUUUGGAUUAAAGAUUUAUCGGUUAUGGAUGGGGAUGCGUCUGAUUAGAUUGUUGGCGGGGCAACGGCCCACCAAGUCUGCGAUCAGUAGGGGUUCUGAGAGGAAGGUCCCCCACAUUGGAACUGAGACACGGUCCAAACUCCUACGGGAGGCAGCAGUGAGGAAUAUUGGUCAAUGGGCGGAAGCCUGAACCAGCCAAGUAGCGUGCAGGAUGACGGCCCUAUGGGUUGUAAACUGCUUUUGCAGGGGGAUAAAGUGAGUCACGUGUGACUUAUUGCAGGUACCCUGCGAAUAAGGACCGGCUAAUUCCGUGCCAGCAGCCGCGGUAAUACGGAAGGUCCGGGCGUUAUCCGGAUUUAUUGGGUUUAAAGGGAGCGUAGGCCGUGGAUUAAGUGUGUUGUGAAAUGUAGGCGCUCAACGUCUGACUUGCAGCGCAUACUGGUCCACUUGAGUGCGCGCAACGCGGGCGGAAUUUGUCGUGUAGCGGUGAAAUGCUUAGAUAUGACGAAGAACCCCGAUUGCGAAGGCAGCUCGCGGGAGCGCAACUGACGCUGAAGCUCGAAAGUGCGGGUAUCGAACAGGAUUAGAUACCCUGGUAGUCCGCACGGUAAACGAUGGAUGCCCGCUUUUCGGUCAUAAGACCGUGAGGCCAAGUGAAAACAUUAAGCAUCCCACCUGG
rnacentral:rRNA from 1 species